AGAGAGGGGGAAUGAGAGAAAGAGAGAGUGAGAGAAAGAGCGAGGGGAGAGAAGAGAGGGAGGCAUAUCACAGUCAGGCAUCAGACGACACCCAGGGCUUUGAGCGCGGCGGGAAGCAGUCCAUGGAGCCAGCAGCAGAGGGAGCUCAUUACUUCAGGAUAACACCUGCCGGGAUUGGGAGCGCUGCGCCUGGGAAGGGAAUCCCAUUAUGGAUGGAGGCUGCUGGAGCUUCGGCGCUGGAUGUAGCAGGCCUUCACAGACACCGUGGCUCAGAAAAGCCAUUGAUGGGGCCUUGCCUUGCAACACUGUAAAGCGUCUUCAAUCAAUUGAUUUGAAAAGCCCCUCGCUAUUUCCAGGCGGUUGAGGAACGAUUGUUGGUUACGGUCGCGUACACGUUGCUUCUCCCCUUCCCCGCGACAAACAAAAAAAAAACAAAACAAAAAAUGAAACGAAAACAAAACCAAAAAAAUGGCAAAACAUAAAAACACGAAAAAAAAGCGUCAAAGACUCUCUUCGGUGACGGGUAUUCUUGGGUGGAUAAUACGGAUGACGUUGUUAUUGCUUAAGAAUACGCGUAGUCGAGGAGAGUCAUGUCUACGGAGACCGCACAAGGGACUAGAGUGAGCUGAAGCCUCAAAGCUGCCAUCUGCCUAUGUGAGCUUUUUUAUGCUGUGGGCAGUCGCACUGAGUCGGUCAGACUGACACCCUCGUCCUCGUGUCUUUUAUAUUUAUUUAUUUUGUUAUUUAUUUAAUUAAUUACCUCUCCAGUUAUCUAUUUUUGUUAACUACCAGGCCACCACACAGAGCCUUAUGUGUCAUGCUUGUAUGUAAACCCUGUGUUGUGAGUAGUUGUAGUUGUAUGGCUGUUGAUAGCAGUAGCACAGCUGGUGAUAGCAUUUAGCAUGUUUAGCUAAUGGGAUUAGUAAUUAGGAUAUAGUAGCUUAGCAUUUUUGUAAUUCUGUGCCUUUCCUGUUGCUUUGAUUUGCCUUCUACUGUAAAUUUUAUCUUCUUUUUAGAGUUAGCUUAGUCAUAUUUUGUCUAAAGGAUAUGUAUUUGUAUUUAUAUUGAUUUUGUUAAGUGUAGUGUUUUUUUUUAUUUGUUUUCUAAGCCAUUACAUUUGUACCUGUGAAUUCACGCAUGUGCUUUAUAUCACUGAGUGAACUGUGCCUUGUUGACUUUGUAAUGGCAGAGGACGGACAGUGUUUGACAGUGUCAGGGUGGCCUUGCUUGGGGGGCGGGUUGGUAGGGUGUGAGAG